AGGUGAUCCAACCGCAGGUUCCCCUACGGUUACCUUGUUACGACUUCACCCCAGUCAUGAAUCACAAAGUGGUAAGCGCCCUCCCGAAGGUUAAGCUACCUACUUCUUUUGCAACCCACUCCCAUGGUGUGACGGGCGGUGUGUACAAGGCCCGGGAACGUAUUCACCGUGGCAUUCUGAUCCACGAUUACUAGCGAUUCCGACUUCAUGGAGUCGAGUUGCAGACUCCAAUCCGGACUACGACGCACUUUAUGAGGUCCGCUUGCUCUCGCGAGGUCGCUUCUCUUUGUAUGCGCCAUUGUAGCACGUGUGUAGCCCUGGUCGUAAGGGCCAUGAUGACUUGACGUCAUCCCCACCUUCCUCCAGUUUAUCACUGGCAGUCUCCUUUGAGUUCCCGGCCGGACCGCUGGCAACAAAGGAUAAGGGUUGCGCUCGUUGCGGGACUUAACCCAACAUUUCACAACACGAGCUGACGACAGCCAUGCAGCACCUGUCUCACGGUUCCCGAAGGCACAUUCUCAUCUCUGAAAACUUCCGUGGAUGUCAAGACCAGGUAAGGUUCUUCGCGUUGCAUCGAAUUAAACCACAUGCCCCACCGCUUGUGCGGGCCCCCGUCAAUUCAUUUGAGUUUUAACCUUGCGGCCGUACUCCCCAGGCGGUCGACUUAACGCGUUAGCUCCGGAAGCCACGCCUCAAGGGCACAACCUCCAAGUCGACAUCGUUUACGGCGUGGACUACCAGGGUAUCUAAUCCUGUUUGCUCCCCACGCUUUCGCACCUGAGCGUCAGUCUUCGUCCAGGGGGCCGCCUUCGCCACCGGUAUUCCUCCAGAUCUCUACGCAUUUCACCGCUACACCUGGAAUUCUACCCCCCUCUACGAGACUCAAGCUUGCCAGUAUCAGAUGCAGUUCCCAGGUUGAGCCCGGGGAUUUCACAUCUGACUUAACAAACCGCCUGCGUGCGCUUUACGCCCAGUAAUUCCGAUUAACGCUUGCACCCUCCGUAUUACCGCGGCUGCUGGCACGGAGUUAGCCGGUGCUUCUUCUGCGGGUAACGUCAAUGAGCAAAGGUAUUAACUUUACUCCCUUCCUCCCCGCUGAAAGUACUUUACAACCCGAAGGCCUUCUUCAUACACGCGGCAUGGCUGCAUCAGGCUUGCGCCCAUUGUGCAAUAUUCCCCACUGCUGCCUCCCGUAGGAGUCUGGACCGUGUCUCAGUUCCAGUGUGGCUGGUCAUCCUCUCAGACCAGCUAGGGAUCGUCGCCUUGGUGAGCCGUUACCCCACCAACAAGCUAAUCCCAUCUGGGCACAUCCGAUGGCAAGAGGCCCGAAGGUCCCCCUCUUUGGUCUUGCGACGUUAUGCGGUAUUAGCUACCGUUUCCAGUAGUUAUCCCCCUCCAUCAGGCAGUUUCCCAGACAUUACUCACCCGUCCGCCACUCGUCAGCAAAGAAGCAAGCUUCUUCCUGUUACCGUUCGACUUGCAUGUGUUAGGCCUGCCGCCAGCGUUCAAUCUGAGCCAUGAUCAAACUCU
rnacentral:rRNA from 1 species